AUUGAACGCUGGCGGCAUGCUUUACACAUGCAAGUCGAACGGCAGCGCGGGCUUCGGCCUGGCGGCGAGUGGCGAACGGGUGAGUAAUACAUCGGAACGUGCCCAGUAGUGGGGGAUAGCUCGACGAAAGCCGGAUUAAUACCGCAUACGACCUGAGGGUGAAAGCGGGGGAUCUUCGGACCUCGCGCUAUUUGAGCGGCCGAUGGCAGAUUAGCUAGUUGGUGGGGUAAAGGCCUACCAAGGCGACGAUCUGUAGCUGGUCUGAGAGGACGACCAGCCACACUGGAACUGAGACACGGCCCAGACUCCUACGGGAGGCAGCAGUGGGGAAUUUUGGACAAAGGGCGAAAGCCUGAUCCAGCAAUGCCGCGUGUGUGAUGAAGGCCUUCGGGUUGUAAAGCACUUUUGGCGGGAACGAAAAGGACUGUGCCAAUACCACGGUUCGAUGACGGUACCCGCAGAAUAAGCACCGGCUAACUACGUG
rnacentral:rRNA from 1 species